rnacentral:lncRNA from 1 species
AUAAUAAGUUUGGAAGGUCCUGAAAUUUUAUUUUCUUUUCCCAAUAUGGUAAUCUGUUUUUUUCCUUCAUGAGAAUAAACACAAACUCAUGCCUUCUCUAGAAUGAAAGACACUAGUCCAAUCAGUUGCAGUGUAUCUUUAGGAAAGUGCCCAGCAAUGAACUCACUGAACACUGAACUGAAAGUUUUAGUAAAGUUACAUGGGGUAGCUGCCUUGAAUAUACUUGCAGCAGGGCUCCAACUACAGUGACAAAGAUGAACCAAGGACCCCAGCUACAGUGCUCUGAAAUCCAUGACGGCAUUUGCAACAAAACCAAGCUUCCUACAGACUGACGGUAACCAGUAACUGAACCCCAGAGGAAUGAGGUGUUUCCCCCAAUAAAAUCUUUACCUGCUUUGGUGUCUACAUCUCAGAAGACCAAGACCCAAGACUAGCACCACUGAUACCAGGAGUAGCCCAAGAAUGCAAGUGGUAAUUUGGGGAUGGCUCACUCCUUUCCCUGACACAGAAGAAGAUGCCAUUCUGUCACAAGGUGAUGACUCAUUGUUACAGCUUUUGACAGUGUGACCUGGAAAAAUGUCCAGGGGUAGGAAAUGCUGCAGCAUGUGCAAAAAUACAGGCACCUAGAAAACAUGGGGAGAAAGGGAAUGCCUAAAAGGACAGCAACAUUGGUUGGUUACUACUAAAUUGUAUUGACACUCUGCAAAGGCAUGGUGAAAUAGUGAGUGAUCUUAACAAGUAUUUAAUAACUACAUGUGGGUUUAGGUGG